AAAANGACUCUCGGCAACGGAUAUCUCGGCUCUCGCAUCGAUGAAGAACGUAGCGAAAUGCGAUACUUGGUGUGAAUUGCAGAAUCCCGUGAACCAUCGAGUCUUUGAACGCAAGUUGCGCCCUAAGCCUUCUGGCCGAGGGCACGUCUGCCUGGG
rnacentral:rRNA from 1 species